rnacentral:misc_RNA from 1 species
GGAGUUAUGCCUUAAGGUUUGUAUCACGGCGAAUUCACUUUCCUUUCGUGUUUGACUGUUUCGCUCCAAUUGUCAGAGCACUGUUUUAUUUGACAUUCGUAUUUACAUUUUCGGCUGAUUGUAAUCUCAGAGGACAUAGAGUAAUGUUGUAAUGAUUUAUCCUUGAUUGAAUGUUUUAGAUUUUACUUCGCGUGUUAUCAUGUAUAGCAGCAUAAGAUUUUAUAAAGCUGCGAUCCUUUGCAGAGAGUUCCGAACCUUUUUAGGAGUGUGUAAUGCACAUGUGCGAACGUUUACUAACGUGAAAGACUAUUGUGAGUCCUCUGAAAAGUUAUCAGAUUUUCCGAAUAUACCGAUUAAACGUAUUCGAAAUUUUAGUAUAAUCGCACACGUAGAUCAUGGGAAAAGUACUCUUGCAGACCGUAUUUUGGAAUUGACUGGAGCUAUUCCACGGAAUUCUGCAUCACAAAUAUUAGACAGUUUGCAAGUGGAACGCGAGCGUGGUAUAACCGUUAAAGCACAAACUGCUUCAAUUUUCUACACUUAUAAAAAUGAUGAAUAUUUACUAAAUUUGAUUGAUACACCGGGCCAUGUGGAUUUUUCAAACGAGGUUUCAAGAUCCCUAGAGGUGUGUGAUGGUGUCAUACUAUUAGUUGAUGCUUGUCAUGGCGUCCAAGCACAGACUGUCGCCAACUAUUAUAUGGCAAAAAAGCGUAACUUGGAUGUGAUACCAGUACUUAACAAAAUAGAUAUAAAACAUGCUAAUCCCGAAGGAGUUUGCAGAGAUCUACAAAAUUUGUUUGGAAUUAACCCCAAUAGUGUUUUAAAGAUUUCCGCUAAAUUAGGAACUGGAGUGGGCACUGUUCUUGACGCUGUCAUUGAGAGAAUAAAACCACCAGAUGUGAAUCGGGAACCACCCUUUCGAGGGUUGAUUUUUGAUAGUUGGUUCGAUAAAUAUCGUGGGGCUUUGAACUUAAUUUAUGUCUUAAAUGGAUCCCUGAAGUUGGGACAAGACAUUCAAUCAAUUAUCACCAAAAAGUCUUAUCCUGUGAAAGGCAUAUCAAUAUUGCUCCCUAAAGAAUCAAAAACCGAAGAGAUUUCUGCAGGUCAGGUGGGCUUGAUUUCAUGUAAUAUGAGAAAUAGCAAGGAAUCCAUCAUUGGCGACACGAUUCAUUUAAAAAAUGAAAAUGUUGAAGCAGCCGUUAGAUUUCAACCGCAACAGCCAAUGGUAUAUGCAGGUGUAUACCCAGCAGAUCAGUCAAAGCAUGUGGCUUUGCGUAGUGCGAUCGAUAAACUGGUGUUGAAUGAUUCAGCAGUUACGGUUAAAGUGGAUUCUAGUCCGGCUUUAGGCCAAGGCUGGCGCUUAGGCUUCCUCGGAUUACUUCAUAUGGAGGUAUUUUGCCAAAGACUUGAACAGGAACAUGGUACGGAACCAAUUAUUACAGCACCUUCCGUCACGUACCGAAUAGUUUUGAAGAAUCCAAAAUUAAUAAAGCAAAUGGGAAAGGAAACUUUAGAAAUUUCAAACGCAGCUUUGUUUCCGGAGCCUCUCAAUGUUAAGGAAUACUAUGAACCGCUCGUGAAAGGAACUAUAAUAACACCAACUGCUUAUCUUGGUCAAAUAAUUAGUCUAUGUGUUGAACGUCGUGGAAUACAAGAGUCCUCAACAAAUAUAGACAACGAUCGUAUUUUAAUGAAAUAUAUACUGCCACUUAGUGAAAUAAUUUUAGACUUCAAUGAUCAUUUAAAAUCAAUAAGCUCUGGUUAUGCCAGUUUCAAUUAUGAAGACCAUGGAUAUCAUUUAACAAAUAUCGUGCGAUUAGACAUUCAUCUUAAUGGUCGACCAGUUGAAGAGUUUUGUCGCAUUGUCCAUGUCUCAAAAGCAAACGCAGUAGCUCGGGAAAUGGUAGCAAAAUUAUUGGAACUCAUACCGAGGCAGAUGGUUCAAAUAGCUAUCCAAGGAUGUGUAAAUGGAAAAGUUUUGGCGCGAGAAACUAUAAAAGCUUACCGAAAAGAUGUUACAGCGAAAUUGUAUGGCGGCGAUGUAACUAGACGUAUGAAGCUUUUGAGGCAACAAUCUGAGGGUAAAAAGAAAAUGCGAAUGUUUGCUAAUAUCCGCGUGCCACAUGAGACUUUUAUCAACGUACUAAAGAGAUAGUGUACUAUAUUUCCAAAUACUGCAAUAACGGAACUUACAUAUUAAGAGAUACAAAUAAAUAGAUCGUUAUGGUUUAAGUUUUCAAUUAUAAUUACAAUAUGAUCAACACAGGAGACUUUAAUGUAACAAACCGUGGUAAUGUGUUGUUACCACGUGGAUUGGUGCCA